rnacentral:piRNA from 1 species
UUUUAUGGAAAUGGUGACUAGGAUCCACAGG